AUUCAUGACCAGGUUAGUUCGCGCAGUCUGCAUCUCUCUCUCUCCUUCCCUGUUUCCCCUCGCCGGCCGGGAACCGGGGACCGAGCGGGGCAGCGCCGGACAGCCUACUUUACCUAGACAUUAAUUUAGGAAUAAAGCAACAGGGUUAUCUUGCAGAACUCUGAAGUCAAUGCCUGAAAUCGAGCCUCUAAUGUCCCCAUCUGUAGUUUCAGAAUUACAAAGCUACUUUUCUUCUCUGAAGGUUAACCACAGUACAACACUGACUACUAGAAAGGAAACUACUUCCUGGGAUUAUGUUAUGAAAAACUGAGAAGAACCUAUAAUAAGAGGAUUUUUUUUUUUCUAGGAGUUGUCAAAGAAAAACUGUGCCGGACAAUGUGAAACAGAUAAGAAACUGAGGCUUGGUCUAAGUAAAGGAGGUGAUAUGCCAUAAUGGAAUGAUGGGGACCAUGCAGCUCAUCAGAUCUGGUUUAGAAUUGACCUUAAGCUAGAGACUUAAUUUCAGUUUACUUAUCUAUAAAUUUGGGAUAAUAAUAUCUGUAUUGCAGGAUUAUUGAAUGGAUUAGAGGUAUUGUAUGUUAAAAGGCCCUAAGAUUAUUUGUUAAGCAUUCAAUAAAUGGUAGCUAUUAUAAAAACAA